rnacentral:tRNA from 1 species
AACAUGUCGGCUAACCCCCUUCCUUUGCAA